rnacentral:rRNA from 1 species
GACGAACGCUGGCGGCGUGCUUAACACAUGCAAGUCGAACGGAAAGGCCCUGCUUUUGUGGGGUGCUCGAGUGGCGGACGGGUGAGUAACACGUGAGUAACCUGCCCUUGACUUUGGGAUAACUUCAGGAAACUGGGGCUAAUACCGGAUAGGAGCUCCUGCUGCAUGGUGGGGGUUGGAAAGUUUCGGCGGUUGGGGAUGGACUCGCGGCUUAUCAGCUUGUUGGUGGGGUAGUGGCUUACCAAGGCUUUGACGGGUAGCCGGCCUGAGAGGGUGACCGGCCACAUUGGGACUGAGAUACGGCCCAGACUCCUACGGGAGGCAGCAGGGGGGAAUAUUGCACAAUGGGCGGAAGCCUGAUGCAGCAACGCCGCGUGCGGGAUGACGGCCUUCGGGUUGUAAACCGCUUUCGCCUGUGACGAAGCGUGAGUGACGGUAAUGGGUAAAGAAGCACCGGCUAACUACGUG